UUAGCUGAGUCAAGUGAUUGGACGGUGGUGAUUGCAGGAGUAGGACUUGAUCGUGGGAAACAUGGGGGAGGCGUGUGGGUGCACACACGCAAAUGUAAUCACGAGACUCACGCUUUAUAAAGAUUCAAUGUACAGAAAGCAGAACAAUAACACCACACAGCACCCUCCCCUCCAACUCUUGUUUGGUCUGGCUCACAGCUGAAGGCCACAUUUGUUAUGUUCUCUUCUCUCCAUGGGUACUUCAGUAAUUUCAUCUGCUGAUUAUGGAUACAUUAAUCUCCUCUGUUUCUU
rnacentral:lncRNA from 1 species